UAUAAAAUGGUAACUACAAGGUAUUUUUUUCUCUUAAUUUCUCUAAAUACAUAGGACUAUUUUCAGCAAAAGUUAUAAGACUGAGUUGUAGAGUAUGUAUAAAGGAUGGGGCAAAAGGAAAAGUACAUGAGUGCAAGGUUUUUACACCUUACAGGAAGCGCUAGUUAUAUGAAUUAGCUCAAUAGACUGAAAAGUCACGGAUAUAUAGGGUAAUCCUUAGAGCAACUUGUAUUGUUUAAAAGUUAGACAUUAUAAUGGAAUGCUAAGAUAUAUUAAAAUAGACAAAAGUGGCAGGAAGGAGAAACAGGAACAAACAAGGGGAAAAAAGGUAAAAUGAGAGCUCUACCACUAAUGACCUCAAGACUUAACAUUAAAUGUUAGUGGACUAAAUGCUAAUUAAAUACGAGAUCAUCAGGUUGGGUUUUUUUUAAACCAACUACGUGCAGUCCACAAAAGACACAAAAUAUAAGGAACAGAUACAUACAAAGACAGAAAUGGAUGGAGAAAGAUUUAUCACGCAAGUUGUAAAUAUAAAAAAAGAUUGGAGUGGCUACAUUGAUCUCAAACGUCAAGAUAGAAAAGGUUACGAGAGAGAAACUGGGCCCUUCAGAAUGAUAAAGGGUCAGUUCUGUAGGAGAACACAGUAAUCAUAGACGUGCGUACACUUGAUAACACACCUCAUAAAUGAAGCCAAACCGACAGAGAAGUAGCCAAUUCUACAGUCAUGGGUGGAUAUUUUAACGCCCUCUUUCAGUAACUGAUGGGACGUCCAGAUUGAAAUACUGGUAAGAACAGACAAUCCAGACACUAUCCGUCACCUUACCGGAGUUCAACGUUCACUACACCCUACGUGGCAGAACAUCUACUAAACACAUCAUAUGCUGGGGACACAAAUUAUUCAAUAAAUUUAAAAGAUAUGAAAUCAUACAGAAUAUAUUCUGUAGCUACGGCAGAAUGAAAUCAGAACUCAGUAAUAAUAAGGUAUCUAGGUCAAUGCCAAAUAUUUCUAAAUUGAACAACACACUUCUCAAUAAUCAUUGGGUCAGAUAACAAAACAGUCCCAUUUACAAAUGCACUAAAAACAACAUCUAGGUAUAAAUUUAACUGAAGAGGUGAAAGACCUGUGCUCUGGAAACUAUACAACACUGGAAAGACACCCCAUGCUCAUGAAUUGGAACAAAUAUUGUUAAAAUGUCUGUACUACCCAAAGCAAUCCACAGAUUAAAGGCAAUCCCCAUCCCAUUAUCAACAGCAUUUUUCAUAGAACCAGAACCACCAACCCUAAAAUUCGUAUGGACCCACAAAAGAUCCUGACUAGCCAAAGCAGUCUUGAAAAA